rnacentral:rRNA from 1 species
GAUGAACGCUGGCGGCGUGCCUAAUACAUGCAAGUCGAGCGAACAGACGAGGAGCUUGCUCCUUUGACGUUAGCGGCGGACGGGUGAGUAACACGUGGAUAACCUACCUAUAAGACUGGGAUAACUUCGGGAAACCGGAGCUAAUACCGGAUAAUAUAUCGAACCGCAUGGUUCAAUAGUGAAAGAUGGCUUUGCUGUCACUUAUAGAUGGACCCGCGCCGUAUUAGCUAGUUGGUAAGGUAACGGCUUACCAAGGCAACGAUACGUAGCCGACCUGAGAGGGUGAUCGGCCACACUGGAACUGAGACACGGUCCAGACUCCUACGGGAGGCAGCAGUAGGGAAUCUUCCGCAAUGGGCGAAAGCCUGACGGAGCAACGCCGCGUGAGUGAUGAAGGUCUUCGGAUCGUAAAACUCUGUUAUUAGGGAAGAACAAAUGUGUAAGUAACUGUGCACGUCUUGACGGUACCUAAUCAGAAAGCCACGGCUAACUACGUG